AUUCAGUUUACAGAAAUACCAGGAAAUACAUUGAGAUUCUUAGACAGAACUGGCACAGCAGUAAUACCUUCCAAAUCUACAAGGCACCUAACAGAGUGGAUAUGCAAAUCGGUUAACUGCUACCCACUAGGCUGGAUGUUCCAUCUAUAAGUAGAAGAGCUGGACCUGAAAUGGAUUGGUCAAGUCCACGUUGGCUGAUAUUAUCCCCUUAUUGUCCUCUGGAUGAAUACAAAGAGGUGCAUCUGCUGAGCAGGAAGGGGGAGCAGGGGCUGCCAGGUCACCCCCUCAGAAGCUCACUGCUCUGCUGGAGUGCACUUUCCCCUCAUCCCUGCUCUCCCUGCCUCUUUCCAGUAUGUCAGCAUCAUCCUCCGCCAUCCCAAAACCGUGCAUGUGACCACAGAUGCCCAGGGCUGUGGAGCUGGGGAGGGGUUCGUAAGAGGUGCAGCAGGUGGCAAACAAGGAAUCAUGAAAAAAAUCACAAAACAUUAAAAAAUAAAUCAGCCUUCAGGAGGGUUACAGAUAGUUGUACCAAAUCCAUCACUUCUGUCGUUAUCAUCAGAGCCCUGUCAGAGCCUGUCCUUAUUGUUUUCAGUGUGCUUUGGAUUAGAUGUGGAAUCAAUAUAAAGUGUUAAAAGAGCUGAUUAAAAACAGUGGCAAGUCUAGGAGUUUGGCCAGUCAAAAGCCAUCUUGGUGCUUGAAUGAUGGACCCAGCUCAGCAGUCAGCUGCAUAACUGUGGGGCUUUCUGCUUUCAGAGCAUGUGUCCGCGGGUGACAGUGACAAAGAGAACUACACCUAGAGGACACCAUUUGAUCUAGAGCUGCGACAGGGCUGUUCCCUGCCAGCGAGAGCUGACUCUGGACUGAUGCAGAUGUUUGUUCUGGAUUGAAAUACUAAAUUGGCAUCUACAAUACAGUAGGCCAAAAGAGAAUAGGCUUGCUUUUUUUUUUGUGGAAGUGCUAAUGCUAAAGUAAGCAGUUUUCCUUUUUGCUAAGUCUGCAAAAGCAAUGACCAUUAUGGUCAAAGUCAAAGGAGUACUGUCAAUUUAGCAGGAGCCCAGUUUCUAAAGAAUUUCAAGUCAUACUUGUAAAAUCUGGUAAGAGCAGAGUUGUUUAUGUUGCACAGUUAAUACUGAAAACAGUUUCCAUAAUAAGUUUGAUUUUCAGUUUCUCUCCUUCCCUGUCCCUUGUGAAUGUAAAUCUAAUAAAAUGUAAACUCUGUAAACA
rnacentral:lncRNA from 1 species